rnacentral:rRNA from 1 species
CUCCCAAACCCAAUGUGAACCAUACCAAACUGUUGCCUCGGCGGGGUCACGCCCCGGGUGCGUCGCAGCCCCGGAACCAGGCGCCCGCCGGAGGGACCAACCAAACUCUUUCUGUAGUCCCCUCGCGGACGUUAUUUUUUACAGCUCUGAGCAAAAAUUCAAAAUGAAUCAAAACUUUCAACAACGGAUCUCUUGGUUCUGGCAUCGAUGAAGAACGCAGCGAAAUGCGAUAAGUAAUGUGAAUUGCAGAAUUCAGUGAAUCAUCGAAUCUUUGAACGCACAUUGCGCCCGCCAGUAUUCUGGCGGGCAUGCCUGUCCGAGCGUCAUUUCAACCCUCGAACCCCUCCGGGGGUCCGGCGUUGGGGAUCGGGAACCCCUAAGACGGGAUCCCGGCCCCGAAAUACAGUGGCGGUCUCGCCGCAGCCUCUCAUGCGCAGUAGUUUGCACAACUCGCACCGGGAGCGCGGCGCGUCCACGUCCGUAAAACACCCAACUUCUGAAAUGUUGACCUCGGAUCAGGUAGGAAUACCCGCUGAACUUAA